rnacentral:lncRNA from 1 species
GUCAUUUCCAAUAGUCUCGUUUGUUGAGGGGGUACAUCUUGACAAUUUGGGGGAUCCUGGCCUACGGGAUGCAUCAGCAGCAGCGGUGAUGGUAGCAGUGGUAGCAGCAGAGGAAGCAGCAGGAGCAGCAGCCGCCACCGCCUCCGCGGUGGCUGCACCGCGCGCGCAAACCGCGCUAGGUCCACCGGGCUCCGCGAGGUUGUCUGCCUGCGUGGAGAGGCGGGGCUUGGCGCCUGAGGGAGUGGCUUGGCGCCCGGGGGCGGGGCCCAGCGAGCAGGACUCGGGCUGUCUGCUCUCGGCGGCGGCGGCACCGGCUGAGGGCACAGCCAGCGGGCGGCGCGCCGCGGACUCCCAGGCAGCCCGCCGAAAGAAUCCUGAAUUUCACCAUGAAGAGACUGUCGCCCAGCCUUCUCAUCUAGAGAAUUAUUCUCAGGAUCUGCAGACAGGAGACAAUGCAACUCCUUAAUCCUGUUCCUUGCCUGAACACUACCACUGUCUCCCACACCCUGGCACCAAUAUCCUUUUGGCACAGGUGAGUACAUAAUAACAAGGGUCUAAUCUUGUCAUUCUCACCUUUCUUUCCCCAGCCCUCUGAUAUUCAUUAAUUAAUAAAACAAAAAUGAUACCCCUACA